rnacentral:lncRNA from 1 species
CCCAUGCUAAUUAGAUCAGUUAUUUGAUGACUGAUUAGAUAAAAUCUGAAUCAAAUCUCUCCAUAAAUAUUAAGCCUAUCGGUCUUCCACCAGGAAUCUGCAGAUGGAGGGAAUAAAAUAUUGAGCCCAAAACCUUUCAAGGUCAUGCUUAAUAAUGAUUGACUCCUCGUUAUCUGACUCUCAGAAGUCUCCUAACCUACAAACAAGACUAUCCGAGUGCAUAGAGUCAAA